CCAAGUAGAUGGACACAGUUUCGGAUAUGUAGAGAAAGCGACCCUCGUGACUGACCACGAACACGAAACCAUCCAGCGACUGGAGGAAAGGACACGGAGACGCCCAUUAAAAUCAACAAAUCACUCUAAUUAACUUCUCACUGUCAUCACUUAUAUGACGGCGGAUAUCAAAAUGGAAACGCCCGAAGGACGACAAACAGCGUGGGCAGUGCGAGUAGCCAACCACCACGGAUAGCCUCUGAAACCCCUGCAACCCAGAAUAGGACAAGCAAUUACAGAAAAUGAAUGGAUGGACCUUCUUUGAAGCCGUGACUGCAGCAUUGCACUCAUAACCAGGACUCAAGCCGGACUGCAAAUCCAAAAGAAUGAUGCUCAUGUACAUCGAUCGCCUCUGAAAUAAGCAUCCAUCCAUUCUAUACUGCUCAUCUGGGUCCUGGUUGCAGGGACAGUGGUCUGAGCAGGAAUGUCCUCAGAUCUCCAGCCAUCUCCUCCAGCUCCUUCAAAGGGAUACCAAAGCGAUGCGAUCCAUCCAAUGCCUGUCAAAUACCAGGAUGAGCUCAUGAAAAAUACAUUUAAAUGUUUUUCUGUCGAGAAUGGAUACAUGGAAGAGCCAUCUAAUGGGACAGCAACAAUAUCACAAAUAAAGAUCCUCAGAUCCUCAAGAGUAGAUGUAAGGCUUCUGCAUUAUCAAAUGGGCCACCUCUGGUGCAGCUGAUUUGUCUGUUACUUAUGAACAUUUCAAAUGUUUAAAAAAGCUUUGUAUACAGAAUCGUUUUCCACUCUCCCAUAUGUUUCUCGUUUUUGUUUAAAAGUUAGCCAGUCUAAUCCAGACCUUUCUCUUUGUCGUAAAAUGUUUUCAUGGCUGGGGGUAGAGCAGUCAACGACUGAAGGGUUUAAAUAACUCUUUGUUCCACACUUUCUCGAGGCAACAUGUUUCCUUAUAACCACCCUAAAAGAAGGCGUAAUGAAGUUCCGAAUCUUUUUCAUAGAGGGGAUUAGAUUUCUUCAGCAGAAAGCGCAGGUCAUUGAGAAAAGCCAGUUCUUCAAACACUUUCAGUGCGUUUGAUGGGAAGUAAUAACCAGGCGCUUUUGAUCAUAACAACCAGUACAGAAAAUACUUGGUCUUGGGUAAUAUGAAAAUAUAAGAAUAUAAAAUGAUCUGCUGCAGAGUAAAGCCAUUUUUGAUUGCAUAAAGUGGAUUCAUUUAUAACUGGAGUAUUUGGAGUGUCAAAUAUUUGGAAUGUCAAACAGCAGGGGGGAUGGGAUCUGGGGCAUUGGUCGCACCCCGAUUCAUAUCGGCCAUUAAGAAAACGUCUGGAGUAUAACAAGCAGUAUAGCAUCACUGAGUACAGCUAGCGCUCAUGGUGUGACCGAAAGGACCUGCGACAGCCAGAAAUAGCUACUAAUCACAUUCACAUAUAGGCAAAAGCCAUGCACCAACUGAUAUCCAAAAAUAGAAUUCUAAAUAUUUUAAGAGUAUAUCUGUGUGUAUCUUGGUGCAGAACAUGUGCACAGAUAUCGUUAAAUGAUUUAAAUACCUCUGAAGAUGAAUUCAUUAUCUUUAACUGGGCAAGUGGCUAUUGAAAAUAAAUUAUCUUAUUUUUCUGCCUGUUUAAAGAUAUCUGGAAAUGUCUUUAUGUCUAAAAAUGUAAAAUAUAUUUUUAAUAAGUCAGGAAGUGGUUCUCCAUAUAUCUUUAGACAGUUUAAAGAUAUCUUUAAAUAAAGAUAAAUACAUUACAAUGUCAGAAUA